AGUGAACGCUGGCGGUAGGCCUAACACAUGCAAGUCGAACGGCAGCACAGUAAGAGCUUGCUCUUACGGGUGGCGAGUGGCGGACGGGUGAGGAAUACAUCGGAAUCUACUUUUUCGUGGGGGAUAACGUAGGGAAACUUACGCUAAUACCGCAUACGACCUACGGGUGAAAGCAGGGGAUCUUCGGACCUUGCGCGAUUGAAUGAGCCGAUGUCGGAUUAGCUAGUUGGCGGGGUAAAGGCCCACCAAGGCGACGAUCCGUAGCUGGUCUGAGAGGAUGAUCAGCCACACUGGAACGGAGACACGGUCCAGACUCCUAAGGGAGGCAGCAGUGGGGAAUAUUGGACAAUGGGCGCAAGCCUGAUCCAGCCAUACCGCGUGGGUGAAGAAGGCCUUCGGGUUGUAAAGCCCUUUUGUUGGGAAAGAAAAGCAGCAGGUUAAUACCCCGCUGUUCUGACGGUACCCAAAGAAUAAGCACCGGCUAACUUCGUG
rnacentral:rRNA from 1 species